rnacentral:rRNA from 1 species
AUUGAACGCUGGCGGCAGGCCUAACACAUGCAAGUCGAGCGGAUGAAGGGAGCUUGCUCCUGGAUUCAGCGGCGGACGGGUGAGUAAUGCCUAGGAAUCUGCCUGGUAGUGGGGGAUAACGUCCGGAAACGGGCGCUAAUACCGCAUACGUCCUGAGGGAGAAAGUGGGGGAUCUUCGGACCUCACGCUAUCAGAUGAGCCUAGGUCGGAUUAGCUAGUUGGUGGGGUAAAGGCCUACCAAGGCGACGAUCCGUAACUGGUCUGAGAGGAUGAUCAGUCACACUGGAACUGAGACACGGUCCAGACUCCUACGGGAGGCAGCAGUGGGGAAUAUUGAACAAGGGGCGAAAGCCUGACGGAGCAACGCCGCGUGUGUGAGGAAGGUCUUCGGAUCGUAAAACUCUUUAAUUAGGGAAGAACAGAUGUGUAAGAAAAUCUGCCUAUUUUGACGGUACCAAAAAAGAAAGCCCCGGCUAACUACGUG